rnacentral:rRNA from 1 species
AGGGUUUGAUUAUGGCUCAGAACGAACGCUGGCGGCAGGCCUCAUACAUGCAAGUCGAGCGGUCCUUCGGGACAGCGGCGAACGGGUUAGUAACGCGUGGGAACGUGCCCUUUAGUACGGAAUAGCCAUUGGAAACGAUGAUUAAUACCGUAUACGCCCCAAGGGGGAAAGAUUUAUCGCUAAAGGAUCGGCCCGCGUUAGAUUAGGUAGUUGGUAGGGUAAAGGCCUACCAAGCCGACGAUCUAUAGCCGGUUUGAGAGGAUGAUCAGCAACACUGGGACUGAGACACGGCCCAGACUUCUACGGAAGGCAGCAGUAGGGAAUCUUGGACAAUGGGCGCAAGCCUGAUCCAGCCAUGCCGCGUGAGUGAUGAGGGCCCUAGGGUUGUAAAGCUCUUUCGCCAGGGAAGAUAAUGACGGUACCUGGUAAAGAAACCCCGGCUAACUCCGUGCCAGCCGCCGCGGUAAUU